CCUACGGGUGGCAGCAGUGAGGAAUAUUGGUCAAUGGCCGCAGGGCUGAACCAGCCAAGUCGCGUGAGGGAUGACGGUCCUAUGGAUUGUAAACCUCUUUUGUCAGGGAGCAAAGGGCGCCACGUGUGGCGCUUUGCGAGUACCUGAAGAAAAAGCAUCGGCUAACUCCGUGCCAGCAGCCGCGGUAAUACGGAGGAUGCGAGCGUUAUCCGGAUUUAUUGGGUUUAAAGGGUGCGCAGGCGGAGGCACAAGUCAGCGGUAAAAUCGCGGGGCUCAACCCCGCUCCGCCGUUGAAACUGUGGCCCUUGAGUGCGCGAAGGGUAGGCGGAAUGCGUGGUGUAGCGGUGAAAUGCAUAGAUAUCACGCAGAACUCCGAUCGCGAAGGCAGCCUACCGGCGCGCAACUGACGCUCAUGCACGAAAGCGUGGGUAUCGAACAGGAUUAGAUACCCCUGUAGUC
rnacentral:rRNA from 1 species